rnacentral:rRNA from 1 species
GACGAACGCUGGCGGCGUGCUUAACACAUGCAAGUCGAACGGAAAGGCCCUGCUUGCAGGGUACUCGAGUGGCGAACGGGUGAGUAACACGUGGGUGAUCUGCCCUGCACUUCGGGAUAAGCCUGGGAAACUGGGUCUAAUACCGGAUAGGAGCCAUUUUUAGUGUGAUGGUUGGAAAGUUUUUUCGGUGUAGGAUGAGCUCGCGGCCUAUCAGCUUGUUGGUGGGGUAAUGGCCUACCAAGGCGGCGACGGGUAGCCGGCCUGAGAGGGUGGACGGCCACAUUGGGACUGAGAUACGGUCCAGACUCCGACGGGAGGCAGCAGUGGGGAAUAUUGCACAAUGGGCGCAAGCCUGAUGCAGCGACGCCGCGUGGGGGAUGACGGCCUUCGGGUUGUAAACUCCUUUCGCUAGGGACGAAGCUUUUUGUGACGGUACCUAGAUAAGAAGCACCGGCUAACUACGUG